AAAUUGAAGAGUUUGAUCAUGGCUCAGAUUGAACGCUGGCGGCAGGCCUAACACAUGCAAGUCGAACGGUAACAGGAAACAGCUUGCUGUUUCGCUGACGAGUGGCGGACGGGUGAGUAAUGUCUGGGAAACUGCCUGAUGGAGGGGGAUAACUACUGGAAACGGUAGCUAAUACCGCAUAACGUCGCAAGACCAAAGAGGGGGACCCUCGGGCCUCUUGCCAUCGGAUGUGCCCAGAUGGGAUUAGCUUGUUGGUGGGGUAACGGCUCACCAAGGCGACGAUCCCUAGCUGGUCUGAGAGGAUGACCAGCCACACUG
rnacentral:rRNA from 1 species